GGUUGUGAGGGUGAUCUGGCUGUGACAUCUGUCACCCCGUUGAUUGCCAGGGUUGAUCUGGCUGGCUAGGCGGGUGUCCCCUUCCUCCCUCACCGCUCUAUGUGCGUCCCUCCCGAAGCUGCGUGCUCGGUGGAAGAGGAAGAUCUUCCCCGAUAGAGGAGAGGACUGUUCUUCGGUCAAGGGUAUACAAGUAGCUGCGCUCCCCUUCUAUAACCUCCUCUGCUAUAACAAGCUCUUAAGGUCCAUUUGUAGGAGAACAUCAGGUAGUCAAUCUUCCAAGACUCCAGACACAUCCAAAAUGAGGUGCUGCACAUGGCAGUCUGCCUUUCUUU
rnacentral:snRNA from 1 species